rnacentral:rRNA from 1 species
UGGGGAAUUUUGGACAAUGGGGGAAACCCUGAUCCAGCCAUCCCGCGUGUGCGAUGAAGGCCUUCGGGUUGUAAAGCACUUUUGGCAGGAAAGAAACGUCGCGGGUUAAUACCCCGCGAAACUGACGGUACCUGCAGAAUAAGCACCGGCUAACUACGUGCCAGCAGCCGCGGUAAUACGUAGGGUGCAAGCGUUAAUCGGAAUUACUGGGCGUAAAGCGUGCGCAGGCGGUUCGGAAAGAAAGAUGUGAAAUCCCAGAGCUUAACUUUGGAACUGCAUUUUUAACUACCGGGCUAGAGUGUGUCAGAGGGAGGUGGAAUUCCGCGUGUAGCAGUGAAAUGCGUAGAUAUGCGGAGGAACACCGAUGGCGAAGGCAGCCUCCUGGGAUAACACUGACGCUCAUGCACGAAAAGCGUGGGGAGCAAAACAGGAUUAGAUACCCCUGGUAGUCCACGCCCUAAAACGAUGUCAACUAGCUGUUGGGGGCCUUCGGGCCUUGGUAGCGCAGCUAACGCGUGAAGUUGACCGCCUGGGGAGUACGGUCGCAAGAUUAAAACUCAAAUGAAUUGACGGGGUCAUAGCUGUUUCCUG